rnacentral:misc_RNA from 1 species
AUUUGAGGUGAGGCGAUCCCCAAUCUCAGCAUCUUCAUCCUCAUCUUAGCUCGAUCAAGAUGUCGCUGCUCUAUAUCGGUCUGGUGAUUCCCUUCGCCGUCUUCUCAAUGGGCUUGCUCCAGCUGGCCUUGGAAUUCAAGAUGUUUUAUAAUGAAAGGUUUGGGAGGAAGAAGGAGGAGGUGAAGCAAGAGGAGCCACACUCUAAUGGAAGCUAUUCAAAUGGUUUAAACCAUACAACUGGGAACAACAAGAGGGCAUCCGAUUUAGCUGUCUAUGAACAAUUUGAUCACCAGGAAAGGAGAACAGAGAAGCGUCCAGGAGUUAUUUCCGACAGAGCCAUGGAAGCACCGCAAAAGCCCCUACUCCCACCUUUUGAUUCUGCCGAAACGCGAACAUUGGCAGAGACUCUGUGCAGAGAUAUCAUUCGUGGGAGCCCAGAUGUAAAAUGGGAAACGAUUAAAGGAUUGGAGAACGCAAAGCGCCUUCUUAAAGAAGCAGUGGUCAUGCCAAUAAAAUAUCCCAAG